CUAUAUCUCCAUAUUACUUACAUUUCCAUUAAUCCAAUUUUUCACUCCCUCACCAAACAUUAAGAGAGAUUUUCACUUUGUGCGAGACAAAGUAGACAGUCAUGAUCUCCUCAUCAAUUUAUCUCGUCUAAGGAUCAAGUGAUUGACAUACUUACAAAGACAUUUUUGACUGUGCUCUUUUAGUUUUUACGAUAAAAACUCAAAGUGAUAGACCCACUUUUAGUUUGCAAGGAGGGUAUUGGACCACCUUGGCUGUCCAGGAAUACACCAGCAACUUUCGGUAGUUAGAAGAUCGCUUGGACUCUGUGUAUCUACUAGCUGGUAGUUGAGUUUAUGUUGAAAAUUACUCACUUUAUGCAUUAUAUAUUUGAUGUAACAGCGUAUGUAAAUAAUUAAAUAAAAG
rnacentral:lncRNA from 1 species